UACGGAGGGUGCGAGCGUUGUCCGGAAUCACUGGGCGUAAAGGGCGCGUAGGCGGCGCGAGCAGUCGAUCGUGAAAGUCCGGAGCUCAACUCCGGAUCGGCGGUCGAUACUCUCGUGCUUGAGCACUGUAGAGGCAGAUGGAAUUCCGGGUGUAGCGGUGGAAUGCGUAGAGAUCCGGAAGAACACCGGUGGCGAAGGCGGAUCUCUGGGCCUUACCUGACGCUGAGGCGCGAAAGCUAGGGGAGCGAACAGG
rnacentral:rRNA from 1 species